rnacentral:snRNA from 1 species
UAUUGUUGCAGCUCUUUUAGAAUUUGUUUAGCAGGUUUUCUAACCCUUGCUGGAAGACCCUG